UCGCUUCCGUAGGGUGAACCUGCGGAAGGAUCAUUACCGAGUGCGGGCCCCUCGGGGCCCAACCUCCCACCCGUGUUGCCCGAACCUAUGUUGCCUCGGCGGGCCCCGCGCCCGCCGACGGCCCCCCUGAACGCUGUCUGAAGUUGCAGUCUGAGACCUAUAACGAAAUUAGUUAAAACUUUCAACAACGGAUCUCUUGGUUCCGGCAUCGAUGAAGAACGCAGCGAAAUGCGAUAACUAAUGUGAAUUGCAGAAUUCAGUGAAUCAUCGAGUCUUUGAACGCACAUUGCGCCCUCUGGUAUUCCGGAGGGCAUGCCUGUCCGAGCGUCAUUGCUGCCCUCAAGCCCGGCUUGUGUGUUGGGCCCCGUCCCCCCCGCCGGGGGGACGGGCCCGAAAGGCAGCGGCGGCACCGCGUCCGGUCCUCGAGCGUAUGGGGCUUCGUCACCCGCUCUAGUAGGCCCGGCCGGCGCCAGCCGACCCCCAACCUUUAAUUAUCUCAGGUUGACCUCGGAUCAGGUAGGGAUACCCGCUGAACUUAAGCAUAUCAAUAAGACGGAGGA
rnacentral:rRNA from 1 species